GGUCGAUGGCAAGAGACCGAUAGCACUUUUUGAUCCUUCUAUGUCUGCUCUUCCUAUCAUUGUGAAAUAGAAUUUACCAAGUGUUAGAUUGUUCACCCACCAAUAGUGAAUGUGAGCUGGGUUUAGACCAUUGUCAGACUGGUU
rfam:Capsicum annuum cultivar Zunla-1 unplaced genomic scaffold scaffold3067, whole genome shotgun sequence